rnacentral:rRNA from 1 species
AGGGUUUGAUCAUGGCUCAGGACGAACGCUGGCGGUGCGCCUUAUGCAUGCAAGUUGAGCGAAGCUUUUUGGUAGUUUACUACUAGAAAUGACUGAGCGGCGAACGGGUGAGUAACGCGUGAGCAAUCUACCUUAGUUACUGGGAUAGCCCGAGGAAACUCGGAUUAAUACCGGAUAUUCUUAUUUUUUCACAUGAAGUUUUAAGGAAAGGUCAGCCGAACUAAGAUGAGCUCGCGUUCUAUCAGCUAGUUGGUGGGGUAAAAGCCUACCAAGGCUACGACGGAUAGCUGGUCUGAGAGGACGAUCAGCCACACUGGGACUGGGACACGGCCCAGACUCCUACGGGAGGCUGCAGCAGGGAAUAUUGUGCAAUGAGCGAAAGCUUGACACAGCGACACCGCGUGUGGGAUGACGGUUCUAGGAUUGUAAACCACUUUCAGGAGGGAAGAAAAUGACGGUACCUCCACAAGAAGACCCGGCCAACUAUGUGCCAGCAGCCGCGGUAAUAC